GCCAUUUAUAACUUUCUCACUCCAUAGUAGAAAAGAAGCGAAACAAAAUCCCUCUCAAAUCCAAUUGGCGACUGCAGCGCUGUUUCUUCAUUUAGCAACCUUUGAAGAAAUUGAAAGAAAUUCCUUCAACGAUCUGAGAAUUCCGAUUUAAUCAACUGCACUAUUCAGCGCUGUUUCCGUUUCUCUUUUUCUCUUGAUUAUUGAAAGAAAUUUGAAGGAAUUGCGACAUGUAUCCAAGUUAUUUCCUUGAAUAGAUGUUUUGCAUGCAUUUCAUUUCAAGUGCGAGAAGCUGGAGGUUUUCGAUGUGAUAUGUAAUAGGGGAAUUGAUUUUUGGGUAGUGGAGAUGUUAAUGGGAAUCAGGUUAGUCUGAGUGGGAUUAUGUAUUUCAUUGAGGUUUUCAUAGCCUUUACAAUUUAGAAAGAAUUUUAGUUGGAAAACAUAAUGGAAAGGAUGUCGUGAAAUUUUUGUUCUCUUUUUUCAUUAUCAUUCAGAAUCUGUAGUUGAGAAUGUAUUUGAUUGUUAUAUAGGUCUAGACUAAAUGAAGGACUGCUUUAGUUUCUUCUUGUUUGGUGAGAGGCUGAUAUGUACCUUAUAUUUGAAAUUGUUUUAAGAAAGUGGUGCGUUCAUGAGAGAGUUGAUCCCUAUAUUAAUAUGUGAACGUAAACAUUGUUGUUCAGUUUUAGUACUUGAUUUCAAGUUCUACAGCAAUUUAUCUAUUGUAGAAUAAAAGCAAUUUUUCUUGUAUAAAGACACGGGGAAAGUGAGACAUUUAGAUUUGAUUUUAUUUCAAUUCCCUGAAACACAAGUGUUUCACUGCAAGAUUCAUUGAUGUUUUACAAGGUAUAUUAUUACCUGUGUCUCCUGUAGCUUUGAAGAGCUCAUUGAUUUAUACAGGCUUUCGCACUCGUGAUACAUAAUUUUGGGGUCAAAUUUGAUGUGAGUGCAUACUCGAAAGCCCACAGAAUGUCCAAAACACAACAGGCGUACCCAUCAUCAAAGAAAGCCCAAGCGCAUGAAAGAAAGACCUCAUUCUGGUGGAAGCCCUUUCCUUACUCCUCAAUAUAGACUAUGAGAUCGUUUUUCUAUCACGGGCAUAUGCUUAGUGAAUUUUGACUUAAUAUUGUUGCUGACUCCUUUCCUUUGUACUUUCACAUAUCUACAUUACCAUUGCAAUCAAUUUUGAAGUUAGUUCAUGUCAUUUCUUCUCGUGACUAGCUAUGAAGAAACAAUUGACAAAUUAGAACAGGGCCUGCAAAUGAUAUUUUGCCGCAUGAAUUGAAGCUUAUAUUGUCUCGUAGUAUUAUUGCGGAAUAUCAAUCAUUCUGAAGGGUUAUGCAACGUGAUGUGCCUUGUAGGAAAUUUUAUAUAAAUAUAAUUCUUGCUGAAAUUACA